rnacentral:rRNA from 1 species
CCUACGGGUGGCAGCAGUGGGGAAUAUUGGGCAAUGGGCGCAAGCCUGACCCAGCAAUGCCGCGUGAAGGAAGAAGGCUUUCGGGUUGUACACUUCUUUGACAGGGGAAGAGCAGAAGACGGUACCCUGAAAACAAGCCACGGCUAACUACUUGCCAGCAGCCGCGGUAAUACGUAGGUGGAAAGCGUUGUCCGGAUUUACUGGGUGUAAAGGGCGGGUAGCCGGGAAGGCAAGUCAGCUGGGAAAUCUGGAGGCUCAACCUCCAAAUUGCAUUUGAAACUGUUUUUCGUGAGUACUGGAGAGGCAGACGGAAUGCCUUGUGUAGCGGUGAAAGGCGUAGAUAUAAGGAGGAACACCAGUGGCGAAGGCGGUCUGCUGGACAGCAACUGACGGUGAGGCGCGAAAGCGUGGGGAGCAAACAGGAUUAGAUACCCUUGUAGUC